rnacentral:rRNA from 1 species
UACGUAGGGUGCAGGCGUUAAUCGGAAUUACUGGGCGUAAAGGGCGCGUAGGCGGCGUGUCAAGUCAGGCGUGAAAGCCCCGGGCUCAACCUGGGAACCGCGCUUGAGACUGGCAUGCUCGAGUUCGGGAGAGGAUGGUGGAAUUCCCAGUGUAGAGGUGAAAUUCGUAGAUAUUGGGAAGAACACCGAUGGCGAAGGCAGCCAUCUGGACCGACACUGACGCUGAGGCGCGAAAGCGUGGGGAGCAAACAGG